rnacentral:rRNA from 1 species
GUGUCAGCAGCCGCGGUAAUACAGAGGGCGCGAGCGUUGUCCGGAAUCACUGGGCGUAAAGGGCGCGUAGGUGGCCACUAUAAGGCCGCGGUGAAAGUUCGGGGCUCAACCCUGAAUCUGCCGCGGCGACUGUAGGGCUUGGGCAUCGUAGAGGCAGAUGGAAUUCCGGGUGUAGCGGUGGAAUGCGUAGAGAUCCGGAAGAACACCGGUGGCGAAGGCGGUCUGCUGGGCGAUGGGAGCGCAAGCUCCUCUUAGCCGACACUGAGGCGCGACAGCGUGGGGAGCAAACAGGAUUAGAUACCCUAGUAGUCC